rnacentral:rRNA from 1 species
CAGCAGCCACGGGAAUACGUAGGUGGCAAGCGUUAUCCGGAAUUAUUGGGCGUAAAGCGCGCGUAGGCGGUUUCUUAAGUCUGAUGUGAAAGCCCACGGCUCAACCGUGGAGGGUCAUUGGAAACUGGGAAACUUGAGUGCAGAAGAGGAAAGUGGAAUUCCAUGUGUAGCGGUGAAAUGCGCAGAGAUAUGGAGGAACACCAGUGGCGAAGGCGACUUUCUGGUCUGUAACUGACGCUGAUGUGCGAAAGCGUGGGGAUCAAACAGGAUUAGAUACCCCAGUAGUCCCUGUCUCUUAUAC